UUGGCCAAUAGGAAAUCAAGACAAGUGAGGCUAGGAGUCGAGGAGGAUUCUGGGAAAUGUAGUAAAGACAGGAAUCGUCAUGUGAUCCUGGCAAGAGAGGAUGCACGCUGCUGCCGUCCUUGAAUAAAGCAAGCCUACUCUCAAACAUUAAACAUUCUCUUCCUGCUCUACUGUCCUGGAACUUCUGUGCAUCAGCAAGCACAAUCGAGGGUAGAGACGUGGAUAGUGGCAUCUCAGCUCCUGGAUUUCAACCAUUCCUUCUCUAAUUUUGUGAUGUGUGAGCUCAGCAAGUGAGACUGCUAAUACUGAUUAUCAGCUUGCUAAGAUCUAGAAGACAGGUUCUCAACCCCAUUGGAGAUCAAAUGACCUUCUCACAAGGGUGAGUUCCAGGAGGAGCCCUCUAUUCAUACCCACCAGUGUUCCAUAUUCCAUGCACCAGGAGGUGCAUGUGCAAACCUCCAUUAUAAGGGCAUGGAGAUAACAAGCAGCAGGGAAGUGCAGUGGUGUGUGCACAUGGGACCAUAAAGAACAGAAGGAGUCCUGAAACAUCUGUGCUCAAGACAGCGGGGGAGGUUCUCCCUCUUUUUCUGCAGAGGGACCAACACUGGUCACAUUUUGCUUUAGUUGAACAUUUUAAUACAUUUUUGUGUGGAAAUAAAUCAGUAAGUUGAAGGAGGAA